GAUGAAGAACGCAGCGAAAUGCGAUAAGUAAUGUGAAUUGCAGAAUUCAGUGAAUCAUCGAAUCUUUGAACGCACAUUGCGCCCCCUGGUAUUCCGGGGGGCAUGCCUGUCCGAGCGUCAUUACAACCCUCAAGCUCAGCUUGGUGUUGGGCCCCGUCGCCCCGGCGGGCCCUAAAGUCAGUGGCGGUGCCGUCCGGCUCCGAGCGUAGUAAUUCUUCUCGCUCUGGAGGUCCGGUCGUGUGCUCGCCAGCAACCCCCAAUUUUUUUCAGGUUGACCUCGGAUCAGGUAGGGAUACCCGCUGAACUUAAGCAUAUCAAUAAGCGGAGGA
rnacentral:misc_RNA from 1 species